UGGGGAAUCUUGCGCAAUGGGCGAAAGCCUGACGCAGCGACGCCGCGUGAGUGAUGAAGGCCUUCGGGUUGUAAAGCUCUGUGGAGGGGGACGAAUAAGGGUUGGCUAACAUCCAGCUCGAUGACGGUACCCCUUUAGCAAGCACCGGCUAACUCUGUGCCAGCAGCCGCGGUAAGACAGAGGGUGCAAACGUUGUUCGGAAUUACUGGGCGUAAAGCGCGUGUAGGCCGCUUGGAAAGUCGGAUGUGAAAGCCCUGGGCUCAACCUAGGAAGUGCAUUCGAAACUUCCAAGCUGGAGUGCUGGAGAGGAAAGCGGAAUUCUCGGUGUAGAGGUGAAAUUCGUAGAUAUCGAGAGGAACACCGGUGGCGAAGGCGGCUUUCUGGACAGUCACUGACGCUGAGACGCGAAAGCGUGGGGAGCAAACA
rnacentral:rRNA from 1 species